GAUGAACGCUGGCGGCGUGCCUAAUACAUGCAAGUCGAGCGAACGGACGAGAAGCUUGCUUCUCUGAUGUUAGCGGCGGACGGGUGAGUAACACGUGGAUAACCUACCUAUAAGACUGGGAUAACUUCGGGAAACCGGAGCUAAUACCGGAUAAUAUUUUGAACCGCAUGGUUCAAAAGUGAAAGACGGUCUUGCUGUCACUUAUAGAUGGAUCCGCGCUGCAGUAGCUAGUUGGUAAGGUAACGGCUUACCAAGGCAACGAUGCAUAGCCGACCUGAGAGGGUGAUCGGCCACACUGGAACUGAGACACGGUCCAGACUCCUACGGGAGGCAGCAGUAGGGAAUCUUCCGCAAUGGGCGAAAGCCUGACGGAGCAACGCCGCGUGAGUGAUGAAGGUCUUCGGAUCGUAAAACUCUGUUAUUAGGGAAGAACAUAUGUGUAAGUAACUGUGCACAUCUUGACGGUACCUAAUCAGAAAGCCACGGCUAACUACGUGCCAGCAGCCGCGGUAAUACGUAGGUGGCAAGCGUUAUCCGGAAUUAUUGGGCGUAAAGCGCGCGUAGGCGGUUUUUUAAGUCUGAUGUGAAAGCCCACGGCUCAACCGUGGAGGGUCAUUGGAAACUGGAAAACUUGAGUGCAGAAGAGGAAAGUGGAAUUCCAUGUGUAGCGGUGAAAUGCGCAGAGAUAUGGAGGAACACCAGUGGCGAAGGCGACUUUCUGGUCUGUAACUGACGCUGAUGUGCGAAAGCGUGGGGAUCAAACAGGAUUAGAUACCCUGGUAGUCCACGCCGUAAACGAUGAGUGCUAAGUGUUAGGGGGUUUCCGCCCCUUAGUGCUGCAGCUAACGCAUUAAGCACUCCGCCUGGGGAGUACGACCGCAAGGUUGAAACUCAAAGGAAUUGACGGGGACCCGCACAAGCGGUGGAGCAUGUGGUUUAAUUCGAAGCAACGCGAAGAACCUUACCAAAUCUUGACAUCCUUUGACAACUCUAGAGAUAGAGCCUUCCCCUUCGGGGGACAAAGUGACAGGUGGUGCAUGGUUGUCGUCAGCUCGUGUCGUGAGAUGUUGGGUUAAGUCCCGCAACGAGCGCAACCCUUAAGCUUAGUUGCCAUCAUUAAGUUGGGCACUCUAAGUUGACUGCCGGUGACAAACCGGAGGAAGGUGGGGAUGACGUCAAAUCAUCAUGCCCCUUAUGAUUUGGGCUACACACGUGCUACAAUGGACAAUACAAAGGGCAGCGAAACCGCGAGGUCAAGCAAAUCCCAUAAAGUUGUUCUCAGUUCGGAUUGUAGUCUGCAACUCGACUACAUGAAGCUGGAAUCGCUAGUAAUCGUAGAUCAGCAUGCUACGGUGAAUACGUUCCCGGGUCU
rnacentral:rRNA from 1 species